rnacentral:rRNA from 1 species
GACGUAGGGCGCGAGCGUUGUCCGGAUUUAUUGGGCGUAAAGAGCUCGUAGGCGGCUUGUCGCGUCGACUGUGAAAAUCCGUGGCUCAACCAUGUGGUCUGCAGUCGAUACGGGCAGGCUAGAAUUCGGUAGGGGAGACUGGAAUUCCUGGUGUAGCGGUGAAAUGCGCAGAUAUCAGGAGGAACACCGGUGGCGAAGGCGGGUCUCUGGGCCGAUAUUGACGCUGAGGCGCGAAAAGCGUGGGGAGC